rnacentral:rRNA from 1 species
UGGAGCUAUUGGCUUUGAAUUGUAUUGUGGAAAUGUAUUACCAACAGAGGUGCAGGUGCCAGCCUAUUGAAAUAAAGCGUCAAUGAGGGUGAGAAUCCUGUUUGUCAUGUGCACGGUGUAUAUUUGCUGAGUCACACUCCUUGGCAUUGGAAUGCAAAGUGGGUGGUAAGUUUCAUGUAAAGGUAAACAUGCAAUUGAGACUGAUAGCACACAAGUACCAUGAGGGAAAUAUGAAAAGGACUUUGAAAAGAGAAUUAAAUGAGUUUGUAUUUGCUGAACACAAAGUAAACAGACUUGAUUUGCUUGGUGGGAGUGUUGCACUUGCUUGACAAGAGCUUUGGGCUGUGGGUGUAAUGAUUCUUUCUUUGCAUGCCAGUUUCUAUUUGUACAUCUGAUUACCUUUGCACAUGAAUGAUAAGUCUCCUGUGGGGGGUGGAUUGCAUGUGCAUGUAAUGAUUUGUGUUUUGAUAAAUGUGUCUGGUGUAUGUGUGUGUUCCUGUGCUUGGGGAUGCUUCCUUCCUUGGACUUACAAGCCCUGACACACACAUGCUGGCAAAAUGCUUCUGCUUGACCCGUCUUGAAACACGGACCAAGGAGUCUAACAGAUGUGCAAAGUUUGAAGGUGGUAUACCUUUGUGUGCAAUGAAAGUGUCAGCUGGGAUAUGUGCACCAGCACCCAAUUAAUUAGCGGACAGAGGUUUGAGUUGGAGCAUAUCUAUUAGGACCCGAAAGAUGGUGAACUAUGCCUGAACAGAAUGAAUUCAGAGGAAACUCUGAUGGAGGUUCGUAUCGAUACUGACGUGCAAAUCGUUCGUCAUAUUUGGGUAUAGGGGCGAAAGACUAAUCGAACCAUCUAGUAGCUGGUUCCCUCCGAAGUUUCCCUCAGGAUAGCUGGAGUUGCUCAGUUUUAUCAGGUAAAGCGAAUGAUUAGAGGAAUUGGGGACAGGUUUGUCUUUGACCUAUUCUCAAACUUUAAAUGGGUAAUAUGUAGUGGUUGCUGUAUGGAACUUCUAAGAUAAAUGG